GGGGAUGUAGCUCAGUGGUCGAGAGCAUGCUAUGCAUGUAUGAGGCCCCGGGUUCAAUACCCGGCCUCCA
rnacentral:ncRNA from 10 species